UACGUAGGGCGCGAGCGUUGUCCGGAAUUAUUGGGCGUAAAGAGCUCGUAGGCGGCUUGUCGCGUCGGAUGUGAAAGCCCGGGGCUUAACUCCGGGUCUGCAUUCGAUACGGGCAGGCUAGAGUUCGGUAGGGGAGAUCGGAAUUCCUGGUGUAGCGGUGAAAUGCGCAGAUAUCGGGAGGAACACCGGUGGCGAAGGCGGUUCUCUGGGCCUUACCUGACGCUGAGGAGCGAAAGCGUGGGGAGCGAACAGG
rnacentral:rRNA from 1 species